CUAGCUUAAGAAAACAGCUUAUAUAACUUGUAUGAAAACAAUUUGACUUAAUUUAAUCUUUUGAUAUCAUAAGCAUUUAUAUGAUAAGCGCUUAUGAUCAUAAGCAAUUAAUGAAGUUGUUUAUCCAAACAUGGUCAUUUUCCCUUUGAUUAUAGAAAGAUGAGUGGUAUCAUGACUUAAAUGUUUAUAAGAGUAUAUGAUAAGCACUUAUGCAAUAAUAUCCACAAAUUGAAUUAUUAAAUUAAAUUAUAGAAAAAGAAUGAACAAAUUGGUCGGAAUGCAAAUUAAACAGAAAAAGUGAAGUGAAUUGUGUAGAAGUAAGUAACUUACAGAAAGAAUCGAACAACUACGGAAAUGGAAUUGCGAAGCUUCGUUUGAUUGUUCGUGUUCGCUGUACAAAAAUUCAAAAAUCACACUCACAAAGAAACAAAAUAUCAUAAACUGUGAAUGCUACGUGCCACUCUGCCAUUUGUUAAUACUACCGCCCAACUCCCUAAUAUUGACGUCAUAUGACUAUUUUUCUGGGGUCAACAACAAUUUAGUUGAAUUUAACAAAAUUGCAAAUAUAUACUACUCCCUCCGUCCCAUUUUUUACCAUUUCACACACUUUAAGAAAAAAACAUAAUAAAAAAAAA
rnacentral:lncRNA from 1 species